GAGGGUAUAGCUCAAGCGGUAGAGCGCAUGCUUAGUAUGCACGAGGUCCUAGGUUCAAUCCUCAGUACUUCUA
rnacentral:tRNA from 1 species